UGGGGAAUAUUGCACAAUGGGCGCAAGCCUGAUGCAGCCAUGCCGCGUGUAUGAAGAAGGCCUUCGGGUUGUAAAGUACUUUCAGCGGGGAGGAAGGGGGUAAAGUUAAUACCUUUGCUCAUUGACGUUACCCGCAGAAGAAGCACCGGCUAACUCCGUGCCAGCAGCCGCGGUAAUACGGAGGGUGCAAGCGUUAAUCGGAAUUACUGGGCGUAAAGCGCACGCAGGCGGUUUGUUAAGUCAGAUGUGAAAUCCCCGGGCUCAACCUGGGAACUGCAUCUGAUACUGGCAAGCUUGAGUCUCGUAGAGGGGGGUAGAAUUCCAGGUGUAGCGGUGAAAUGCGUAGAGAUCUGGAGGAAUACCGGUGGCGAAGGCGGCCCCCUGGACAAAGACUGACGCUCAGGUGCGAAAGCGUGGGGAGCAAACAGG
rnacentral:rRNA from 1 species